GACGAACGCUGGCGGCGUGCUUAAUACAUGCAAGUCGAGCGAGGUCCAUCUGGUGGCAACACCAGUGAAGGCCGAGCGGCGAACGGGUGAGUAACACGUGAGCAACCUGCCCCGAAGUCUGGAAUAACAUCGGGAAACCGGUGCUAAUACCGGAUCGCCCCACCUGACCGCAUGAUCGGGUGAGGAAAGAUUUAUCGCUUCGGGAGGGGCUCGCGGCCUAUCAGCAGUUGGUGGGGUAACGGCCUACCAAGGCGUCGACGGGUAGCUGGUCUGAGAGGACGACCAGCCACACUGGGACUGAGACACGGCCCAGACUCCUACGGGAGGCAGCAGUAGGGAAUCUUGCGCAAUGGGCGAAAGCCUGACGCAGCAACGCCGCGUGGGGGA
rnacentral:rRNA from 1 species